GGCAGAAGAUAGCUCAGUCGGUUAGAGGACGAGACUCUUAAUCUCUGGGUUGUGGGUUCACGCCCUAUGUUGGGCCA